GAGCCUCGCGAGCAGUCGCUCUUUUUGGGAGUGAGUGUGUUCGUGGUCCCUUUCAUCUAGGUUUUGUAAGGAACGUUUUGGGAGUAGUGCUCGCCGAAUGGAACUCAAAGGACCUCUGCUACAGAUCUGCCUUCCUCCCGAGCUGAAGUGCUUUAGUCCUAAGGGUUUAACCCUUCCCCAUUUUUCUUCUGACUCCAUUUUUGCAGGGCAUGUUGAGUCGGCUGCAUCUAGAGAUCCAACGAGUAGGAGUGUUGGCUGGUAAGCUGGGCAUCCGUGUAUCUGAGUUUCUUAGCAAUAAAGUGAAAUGCAAUCUUACUGUG
rnacentral:lncRNA from 1 species